rnacentral:sRNA from 1 species
AAUAAAUAGCAAGGUAAAUAAUGUAUCAAUCUAAUAGAAUAUUAUACACCAAUUUUAAAUUAUUGCUGUCAAGCCCAUGUGGUGACAUGGAAAGAAAUAUUUUAAUGUGAGCUUUUAAAAAACCUACCAUUUGGCCAGGUGCGGUGGCUCACAUCUGUAAUCCCAGCACUUUGGGAGGCCAAGGCAGACAGAUCACGUGAGCUCAGAGGUUCAAUAUCAGCCUGGCCAACAUGGUGAAACCAGUCUCUACUAAAAAUAGAAAAAUUAGUUGGGCAUGGUGCUAUAUACCUGCAGUGCCAGGUAGUCAGAUGUCUGAGACACAAGAAUAGAAUCGCUUAAACCUAGGAGGCAGAGGUUGCAGUGAGCUGAGAUCGUGCCACUGCACUCCAGCCUGGGCAACAAAGGGAGACUGUCUCAAAAAAAAAAAAAAAAAUGAAAUUUCCAGCUGGGUGUGGUGGUUCACACCUGUAAUCCCAGCACUUUGGGAAGCUGAGAUGGGAGGAUCCCUUGAGGCCAGGAGUUUGAGACCAGUGUGGGCAACAUAGUUGAGACUUGUCUCUUUUAUUUAAAAAAAAAAAAAAAAAAAAAUUUAGCAGGGCAUGGUGGUACAUACCUGUAGUCCCAGCCACUCUGGGCUAAGAUGGGAGGAUCACAGAAGCCCAGGGGAGGAGGUCGAGGCUGCAGUGAGCUAUAGUCAUACCACCUCACUCCCACCUGAGCAACAGAGUGAGGCCCUGUCCCUUUAAUUAAAAAAAAAAAAAAAAAGGUUAAAAUAAAAAUUCAGAUUUCCCUGUCUCAUUGAAAGUUUUAUUUUUAUUUUUAAAAAAUAAAAGUAUUAGUCUUUGUUUAAUUGAAGGGAGAUAUUUAUUGAGAGAAAACUUGAGAUUACAUUUACAUGGUAUGUUUUGCAAAAGCCAGCCAGUGUCAGUAUUAUCAAAGCAGAGUUUCUAAGAAAUAUUAGUUGGUUUUAAAAUGCAAUUGCCACCAUCGGUGCCUUCCCUUCCAGCUGAGAAUCUGAAUUUAUGACUUCUAAUAUUAGUUGGUUUUAAAAUGCAAUGCCACCAUUGGUGCGUUCCCUUCCAGCUGAGACAUCUGAAUUUAUGACUUUUACAAUCCUUUAUCUAUAUGAUCUCAGAAACAUGGAUUUUCAUCUUCAGAAACAGGAGCAAAGCUGGAUUGAAAACAAGAUCAUCUAUUUAUUUUUAAUUACAAAGACAUCCCUUCAUUAAAAUGGGCAUCUAUUUGUUUAAAUAUAGUUUGUCCCCUUUGCCAGUUACUGCUGUUUCAAAAACUGAAAUAGUGCCAACAGUAUUUUCUCCUUUGAGUUUGAUGUCUACAUUUGGACUAAUUCAGGGUCACUUAGCCCUUUUUGUCAUAUUCUACUUGCUAUUUAUAAUAGAUUUGUUCAUAAACUGUGUUGUACAAAAAUAAGGCAUUGUCCUUAAUUACAAGAGUUUUCCUUUUCUAAUAUAUAUUUAUUAUUUGAAAAAAUUAAACGUUUCAAAGAAAAAAUGCUUUUAAAAAAUUAUUUUGUUAUAUAUGGCUUAUAUCUCAACAUUUUAUUUUGAUUAUUUGCUUUUUAAACUCAUGACACUGUUUUAUUUUUUUUCAUUGUCCUGCAAUUUCAGAGCAUGUAACUUCUAAUGCCAGCGAUAGUGAAAGUAGUUACCUAAUCUUGAUUACAGAUGAGUAUGGCUGCUCAAAAGGUGGUCAAGAAGAAUACGUCUUAUCUUAUGAACCAGUGAAUCAACAAGAAGUUAAUUAUACUCGACCAGUGAUCAUAUUGGGACCUAUGAAAGACAGGAUAAAUGAUGACUUGAUCUCAGAAUUUCCUGACAAAUUUGGAUCCUGUGUUCCUCAUACAACUAGACCAAAACGAGAUUAUGAGGUAGAUGGAAGAGAUUAUCAUUUUGUGACUUCAAGAGAGCAGAUGGAAAAAGAUAUCCAGGAACAUAAAUUCAUUGAAGCUGGCCAGUAUAACAAUCAUCUAUAUGGAACAAGUGUUCAGUCUGUACGAGAAGUAGCAGAAAAGGGCAAACACUGUAUCCUUGAUGUGUCUGGAAAUGCCAUAAAGAGAUUACAGAUUGCACAGCUUUACCCUAUCUCCAUUUUUAUUAAACCCAAAUCCAUGGAAAAUAUCAUGGAAAUGAAUAAGCGUCUAACAGAAGAACAAGCCAGAAAAACAUUUGAGAGAGCCAUGAAACUGGAACAGGAGUUUACUGAACAUUUCACAGCUAUUGUACAGGGGGAUACGCUGGAAGACAUUUACAACCAAGUGAAACAGAUCAUAGAAGAACAAUCUGGUUCUUACAUCUGGGUUCCGGCAAAAGAAAGGCUAUGAAAACUCAUGUUUCUCUGUUUCUCUUUUCCACAAUUCCAUUUUCUUUGGCAUCUCUUUGCCCUUUCCUCUGGAGUCUUUCUUGAGUACUGAUUUCAUGUUGAAUUGUAUCCCACACAUCAUGGUCUGCAGCUUCUUUUUCACAUGUAGUGUCUCCUUCAAGUUACAUCGUGUGUAUUAUUUAAUGUCACUAUUGGUUAGUGGCCAUUUUUCAGAACUGAAGAUGGAAUGGCCUGACCAGCUAUUAAGAAUGUGGGGAGACGCAGAAAUUGUGGUAAAAUUCCUUAAUGUUUAAGGGAAAGUAACUUUAAGAGAUUUUUGGAAAAGCUUUAUAUACAUUCUUUUCAAAUUUCAGUACAAAUGAAAAAGUGGUUUUAAUCAGUGAUUUAGUAGACUUUGAGCAACUGUGCACGCUUCAGUUUAAUAGCAUGGUUUGGCCAGUGUAUUACUCUCAAGUCCUUUUCUCAAUCAACUUCUAUCAAAGCAAUUGUUUCAUUAUAGAUAAAUAAGGACAACAUUUUUUAAUUUAAAAAUUCAUGUCUGAGUUGACUUUCAUGAGGGAUUUCAUUUUUUCCUCAGCAUUCUUAAAGCCUUUUAGUAUUUGACAGUUCUUUUUUCCCAGGACAUUUGCGAGGAAUAACAACGUUUCAAUGUUUUUAAUCUACUUGAGCAACACUAUCGUGUCUUACAAAAGUUGUUCAUAUGUAAAUGAUCAUCACAUUUCGUGAAUUGAGGCCAUGUUCAGGUGCUAAGGAAGUUCGCCUUUUACACAGAAGAUUGAGAAAAUUUCCUAGAUAUAAAUACAGAUAAAUCAGACGUUACAGUGGUGACGUAGUAACCAUCAUGGCAAUGGAAAGGAGUCCAAUUCAUAGCCUAAAACUUCAAAUGUAUUCUUAGGAGUCAGAUUUUACUGAAUAUUUUACCCACAAUAGCUGCCUAUUUUGUUAUAAUAAAAUAUAUAUAAAUAUAUAUAUAAAACUUUCUUUAACUAAACUGUAACUAUGGGAAUUAUUUUCUUUACAUAGUUGCACACACACACAAACAUAUAUAUAUAUUUAAAAUAUAUUUUGUUUCUUUUGCCACCUACUCCUAACUUUUUGUUUGGUUUUUAAAUUAAAUAUUAAUUGAAUAGACUUAUCUUCCUUAAUCAUGUGAACUGAAAAUGGGGGCAUGGUGGUCAUGAGGAGGAAACAUUUAGGGAAAUUAUAAGUAAAAGUAUGGGCAUAUUCUCCUCUUUUCUACAAAAGUUUUCAAAUGGUUCCUGAGGUUUUUUGUUGUUGUCCUUGUUGUUACUGUUGUUCUUGUCAUCAGGUUUGAUUUUGGUCCUUGCCCUUUCCUUCUAGUUCUCCUUUUAUUAAUAGGAAGGCAGGCAAAAGCCCCAUUUAUGUGUGUGUUUUCCCCUCAGACAGCUUUCCUCCACUGCUCUGCACUAGAAUUGCACAAAUCUUCAUGGUGAGCAAUUUUAAGAAAUGUUAGUGAAAGGUAGAAAUUAUUUCACAAAUCAGUUUCUCUGGUCCUUCAUAUUAAUAUUUGGCUUCCCAUUGCUCUUUGGAGUUGUUUAUUAGAUAUGUGUUUUUGACAACCUC